CCUACGGGAGGCUGCAGUGGGGAAUAUUGGGCAAUGGACGCAAGUCUGACCCAGCAACGCCGCGUGAAGGAAGAAGGCGUUCGGGUUGUAAACUUCUUUUAAGGGGGAAGCGCAGAAGACGGUACCCCUUGAAUAAGCCACGGCUAACUACGUGCCAGCAGCCGCAGUCAUACGUAGGGGGCAAGCGUUGACCGGAUUUACUGGGUGUAAAGGGCGUGCAGCCGGAGAGACAAGUCAGAUGUGAAAGCCACGGGCUCAACCCGUGAACUGCAUUUGAAACUGUUUCCCUUGAGUGUCGGAGAGGUAAUCGGAAUGCCUUGUGUAGCGGUGAAAUGCGUAGAUAUAAGGAAGAACACCAGUGGCGAAGGCGGAUUACUGGACGAUAACUGACGGUGAGGCGCGAAAGCGUGGGGAGCAAACAGGAUUAGAUACCCUAGUAGUC
rnacentral:rRNA from 1 species